GGUUGUGAGGGCGAUCUGGCCACGACAUCUGUCACCCCACUAAUCACCAGGGUUGAUUCGGCUGAUCUGGCUGGCUGGGCGGUUGUCCCUUUCCUCCAUCACCGCUCCAUGUGCAUCCCUCCCGAAGCCGUGAGCUCCAGGGAAGAGGCCGGCCAUCCCCGUUAGAGGAGGACUGGUCUUCGGUCAAGGGUGUAAGAGUAGCUGCGCUCGGGCCCAGCGGCGUGGCCUAGCGGCUAAAGUC
rnacentral:snRNA from 1 species